CCUUAUGACGCCUAGGGCUGACUGGCAUUUGGGUAACGAAACAGAAUUGUAACUUACUAAAAUAAAGUUUUAAGUACGUAUUAAUAAUGAUAAUAUGUAUAAAAGUCUUGACCAAUUACGUGCCAGCAGUCGCGGUAAUACGUAGGAGACGAGCAUUAUUCAUAUUAAAUAGGUUUAAAGGGUACCCAAACGGUCAAAAUACCUGAAAUAUAGGAGUACUUGACUAGAGUUAUAUGUAAGAAGACCGUACUUGAGGUGGAGAGAUUAUAUUUUAUGAUACCAAAAGGACUGAUGACCGCGAAGGCGGUCUUUUAUGUAGUAGCUGAAGAGGAGGGAGGACGGAGGCAAUGACUAUUAAGAGGCGUCGUCCUCCUAGUCUUUGUUGAGGACGAUGAUGACGCCCAUUAUAUAAUACUUUUUUUAAUUAAAUUAAAGAUGAUGGAAGCUCUUCCCCCCAUUAUUUUUGUGGCAACCGAAGGACUGCCCUCCCAAACCGGUUCCGACACCCCCAGAGGAGAGGGGGGUAAUAAACCACCGACCCCGAAGG
rnacentral:rRNA from 1 species